ensembl:misc_RNA Metazoa_SRP Metazoan signal recognition particle RNA
GCUGGGCGUGGUGGCUCACGCCUGUAAUCCCAGCACUUUGGGAGGCCGAUGUGGGUGGAUCACCUGAGGUCAGGAGUUCAAGACCAGCCUGGCCAACAUGGUGAAACCCCAUCUCUA